rnacentral:rRNA from 1 species
GACGAACGCUGGCGGCAUGCCUUACACAUGCAAGUCGAACGGUAACGCGGGGGCAACCCUGGCGACGAGUGGCGAACGGGUGAGUAAUACAUCGGAACAUGUCCUGUAGCGGGGGGAUAACCUGUCGAAAGAUAGGCUAAUACCGCAUACGAUCUACGGAUGAAAGCGGGGGACCGCAAGGCCUCGCACUAUAGGAGUGGCCGAUGUCGGAUUAGCUAGUUGGUGGGGUAAAAGCUUACCAAGGCGACGAUCCGUAGCUGGUCUGAGAGGACGAUCAGCCACACUGGAACUGAGACACGGUCCAGACUCCUACGGGUGGCUG